UACGUAGGGGGCAAGCGUUGUCCGGAUUUAUUGGGCGUAAAGAGCGUGUAGGCGGCCAUACAGGUCCGUUGUGAAAACUCGAGGCUCAACCUCGAGACGUCGAUGGAAACCGUAUGGCUAGAGUCCGGAAGAGGAGAGUGGAAUUCCUGGUGUAGCGGUGAAAUGCGCAGAUAUCAGGAAGAACACCCGUGGCGAAGGCGGAUCUCUGGGCCUUGCCUGACGCUGAGGCGCGAAAGCUAGGGGAGCGAACAGG
rnacentral:rRNA from 1 species